rnacentral:tRNA from 1 species
CGACACCAUCGGCGGGGGAGCACGCUCCGGGAGCUGACGGUGCCCGGGGUCAUCCACGACCACUGUUCGGCGUUUCAUCCGCUGGGCGUCGG